rnacentral:lncRNA from 1 species
CAUGGGCCUCCUCUCCCCACUGCAUCGCCCUUCCCGGCGGCCUACUGCAAACAUGGCGAGUAGAGUAUCAGGAGACGCAUAGUGCUCUUCUGCAUUUCAUUGAUUUUUGUGCUUUUCUAAACAGAAAAAAGUCCAAAUGAAGUCCUCUGUGGUUUGCUAUUGACGUUCAUUCUACUUAUUUUUGUAGGAAAGGUGAAGUGGUGUAGUUCGGCUGGAUGGCCCGUUCCUCAAUUUUGUUGUUGUUGAUAACUGCACUUCAUUAGUUCAUUGUAAAAACUGCAGUUCAUUACCACGAUGGUUAGUGAAAGUGUACCCCGUAGAAUUUUGUGUGGUUCGGCCAGUGGAGAGUGCCGAUAUGUAUGGGUGUGUGGCUGUGUAAAACUAUCGGUAGUUGUGUAUGCUUUGUAGCUCACUUUGUUCUCUUGCGCUGUUCGCUAUAUAACUUUUCCGUGGUCCACUUGGCAAACACAAAACAAGAACAUCUCAAAGCAGCUCACUUCUUAUUAGAUGUAGUUCACUCGCUCUGUCCCUACGGUCCACUUCCAGGCCCAACGCUUGAUGUCAAGUGCACUUCAUCUUGUUUUGGAAAAUUUGGUAGUCUCGAGGUAGUAUUGCGGUUCACCAAUGCUCAGCGUGAAGUGCACUCCAUCUUGUUUGGAAAAAUUUACGUCCC